rnacentral:rRNA from 1 species
CCUACGGGAGGCAGCAGUGGGGAAUAUUGGUCAAUGGACGAGAGUCUGAACCAGCCAAGUAGCGUGAAGGAUGACUGCCCUAUGGGUUGUAAACUUCUUUUAUGUGGGAAUAAAACGUUCCACGUGUGGGAUUUUGUAUGUACCAUAUGAAUAAGGAUCGGCUAACUCCGUGCCAGCAGCCGCGGUAAUACGGAGGAUCCGAGCGUUAUCCGGAUUUAUUGGGUUUAAAGGGAGCGUAGGUGGAUUGUUAAGUCAGUUGUGAAAGUUUGCGGCUCAACCGUAAAAUUGCAGUUGAAACUGGCAGUCUUGAGUACAGUAGAGGUGGGCGGAAUUCGUGGUGUAGCGGUGAAAUGCUUAGAUAUCACGAAGAACUCCGAUUGCGAAGGCAGUUCACUGGACUGCAACUGACACUGAGGCUCGAAAGUGUGGGUAUCAAACAGGAUUAGAUACCCGUGUAGUC